CGCCUGACCCUAAAAACUUCGGGCCCUUCCACUGGAAAGUGGAUUGAAAAAGUGGGUGAAUUCGGGGAAAACCGUUUGCUGUAUAGUAAGCGACAAUCCCGAGCCAAGCCGAGCACCACUUUUGAAUUUUAUAAACUUCUAAAAUUCAAAAGUAGUGCUCGGAAGGUGUAGAGACUAUCCCGAAAGGGAGUACUUCUACUACUGUAGAGGGAAGCGCCCACCUCCAAAAUCUAUUUAUAGAAAGGAUGAUGAUAUAGUCCAAACGCUCUGGAAGAGCGA
rnacentral:ncRNA from 1 species